GUGCUCGCUUCGGCAGCACAGAUACUAAAAUUGGAACGAUACAGAGAAGAUUAGCAUGGCCCCUGCGCGAGGAUGACACGCAGAUUCGUAUUUAAAAGAAAAAAAGAUCA
ensembl:snRNA U6 U6 spliceosomal RNA